AUGAACGCUGGCGGCGUGCCUAAUACAUGCAAGUCGAGCGAACGGACGAGAAGCUUGCUUCUCUGAUGUUAGCGGCGGACGGGUGAGUAACACGUGGAUAACCUACCUAUAAGACUGGGAUAACUUCGGGAAACCGGAGCUAAUACCGGAUGAUAUUUUGAACCGCAUGGUUCAAAAGUGAAAGACGGUCUUGCUGUCACUUAUAGAUGGAUCCGCGCUGCAUUAGCUAGUUGGUAAGGUAACGGCUUACCAAGGCAACGAUGCAUAGCCGACCUGAGAGGGUGAUCGGCCACACUGGAACUGAGACACGGUCCAGACUCCUACGGGAGGCAGCAGUAGGGAAUCUUCCGCAAUGGGCGAAAGCCUGACGGAGCAACGCCGCGUGAGUGAUGAAGGUCUUCGGAUCGUAAAACUCUGUUAUUAGGGAAGAACAUAUGUGUAAGUAACUGUGCACAUCUUGACGGUACCUAAUCAGAAAGCCACGACUAACUACGUG
rnacentral:rRNA from 1 species